GACAGUACAACGCACAUUUAUGCACUUGUGACUGUUAGUUUAAAACCAAUACAAAGCUUGUAGAUAACUUUACAGUGACGUAUCUUUGCAGUCUUUCUUCUCCAGGACCUUGAAAUUUUAACCUUGCUAAAAGAUUCCAUGAUCAGAAGUGCAUCAGCCACACGAGGAAAUUUAGGUCACUUGCAUUAUGUGUACAGGAGAACAAGUGGGGGAGGCAGGAAACCAGCAUGGCCGGGCAAGGACCUGCAGGUCAAACUGAGGGAUAAGAAGAACAUGUACAGGCAGGAUGCAAACAGACAGCAGAAAAAAAAAUGGAGAGAAAAGUCCUCAAAAUCAGGAGAAAAAGGCUAUGUUGACUAUAAUAUGUAUUCUCACAUGCAUUCAAACGUUUUGGAAAGAGCGCUGUGGGAACACAUGACUGGGUGCCCAAACAGAUAUCACAGAAAGGCCUACUUUCCAAGAAAUCAUCAAGACUGUCCACAAAUUCUCCUCUGUACAUUUGUUUUGCAUGAUUCUCCAUCAUCUGGUGUUGCUAUUAAUUAUUUAAAGGGUGCAAUAUGCGGUGAUAAAUUUUUACAGGCUAAUAAAAGAUCUUGGCCAAGAUUUUAAAAAAUGACUAAUGGUCUGGGAGACUUCAUUUUGAGUAUCCAACCUGAGACACUUUCCAAGGCCUUAUGUUCAACAAGAGUCAUUCUUAAGCUGUGAAGCUGAGCAAUCAAAAUAUCAGUGAAGCACAAAAUGUCCCUGAGAUGAUAAUCUACAAGACCGUACUGCAUGAUAAUAAAAGGAAAUGCAAAUAUAAUUACAAUAAAAAUCCCGUGAAUACUUAUUCUGUGGAUUCUAUAGGUCUUUUAGAAAUAAAUUGUUGGGAUUAUUACAGUUUAAGGAGUAUGUUUGAAAUGAUUAUAGGAUUUUUGUUCCAUAUUUACCCUGGCAAUUCACAUUGUUAAUCAAUCUCAUAAUAGAAUCUGUCAGAAAAAAAGAACAGGAGAGUGAGGAGCACCAAUAAUUGCAAAGAGUAGUAACAUCUCCUUGAUCAGAGCAGUGGACAUGUUUGGGAAUAGGAACAACUCGUGCUUGAGAAAGACUAGAAGGGCUAAAAAUCAAGACUUACAGGCAGGAGAUAUGGGUAACUGAGACUUCUGUAAGAGUGGUU